rnacentral:lncRNA from 1 species
GUUCACUUCACUUUAAUGUGGGUGUGUAUUUAUUUCUGCCUUAAUAGGGUGGAAGGGGAGAGCUGAGAGGAUAGGGAGGUUUCUCCAAAUUUCCCCCAUGAGCCACUUGGUGCGUCAGGAGAUGGAACAUUGAAAUAUAAGCUUCUCAGUGGAACUUAACUUUCUAUCUUGCAGUAGGUAGCAACCAAGUCUCUCAGAUAGACUCUGCCAAAGCAAAUCAGCAGAAGAGUCAGUUACAACACCGCCAGUGUCACUAGCCAAUCCCAACUCCCCAGAAAGAAAGGAACCCCAGAAUCUGGAGCUGAGGCCCAUGAUUCCCUUUCCCUGAGGGCUCUUCCUUCUGGAGCAUUUGUGCCUCGGGCUGAAUAGGUGGGUGAGUGGGAUGACACCCCACUUAUCUUCCUCCAUGCUAACCCCACUCUUGUUCUCUCUUCCUCCCUGUCCUCAUCAAUACACUUGGCCCAUUUGGGGGCCCUCGGAAAUAUCAUGAUUGACUUGCUAGGUGAAACACUUUUAUAUUUCGUUUUUAAUAGAGCAAAAGUGACUCUAAAUUUGUUAAUAUUCUUUAGGUUACAUAGGACAAAUUACAGAUAAGUGAAUCAGUAAUGAAAUUUGUAAUGAGAAUUUCUCAAGUAUGAAAUGUUGGCGCAAGGAAAGUUAAUUGCGGGAUUUUACAGCCAUUAUAGUUUAUAUCAUAAAUGCAAAAAUGACUAGGGCCAUUUAAUUACAGUAGGAACACACUAAAUUUUUAUGGAGUGCCAUUUUGUUAAAGAGGUACUCGGAGCAUUAAGAGCAAAUAUCAUCCUAACAGUGGGUCCAGGUAGCUUUCACAACAUCAAAUAAAUAUGCUAUUGCUACAAAAUUGUUCCUUAGAUACUAUAAUUGACACAAUGACUAAUGAGAUGGGUUUAUUCUCACAGCUUCACAUACUCAAUUUACGGUGUCUGAAAGUUAUUUUUUCCUGCCAUCCAUAGACCUGGAAGGAACCAGAAAAAUCCCUCUUGGAAAACACUAUCUCUGCCGCUUCUCUAAUUAACCUUCAAAAAUGCAUUUUGAAAUAUAGAAGUUGGUGCCUGGCAUAGAAAUUGGAUUGUCUCAGAAAAAAAGACCCAAGUGCUAAUUUGUUCCUUAUUACAUAUCUGACAUGUCAAAAUUACAGGCAGUUAAUGUUUUGGAGCCUUUCAGCUUGGUCAGAGGACAGCUUUUCCUGUGGCCAGGACUCAGUGGGGAUAGUUCUGGGUACCAGUGACCCAGAAGCCAGCACCGUCCUCAAUGACCCCCCCGAGGCCAGGGCAGCCUCUUUACUUCCUGAACCCCCGUCAUUCAGCCCAGGGCCUGUGAGUAUCAGAUCCUUCAGUUUCUAAUGGAAAGAGGAUGUCUAAUGGGGCAGACAUGGCAUCCUACGCAUCCCUUAUCACUGUGAGCUGGGGGGACCUCAGCUGUGCACCUCCUUCGCCUUUCCCUAGGCCUCAGGAGUUAUAGAAUGGGAAAGAAGUUAUGGGGAAAAGAGCUAUUUUCACUCUGUGUCUCUGAAAAUGUUUUAGAUUAUUUUGAAGACAGAGGACACCACGUCCUUCCCUCAUCCAGGAAAGAGGAAACUCUUCUAGGCAGUGUUCCUUUCCUUACCAAACCAAAUGAAAGAAAACAAGAUAUAUGUUGUCUCCAAUAUUUAACCAGUGGAGCUGAAAUUUAAGAACUGUUGAUUUGGAAAUCCUAUGUUCAGGACCCUGCUCUGCUAUGUAGUAACAGUGAAACUUCGAACUUCUGUGUCCUCAUCUGAAAAAAAAAAAAAUUUCCCAAGGUUAUUCCAAUUACCUGACAAUUUAAUGAAAAAUUUAUAAUAUAAAAACAUAUUAUCACAUGUUCAUACCAGUAUUAUCAUAAUCAUUAAGGGGUGGAAACAAUCCCAGUGUCCACUGACAGAUGAAUGGAUAAAUAAAAUGUAGUGUAUACACACUGUGUUAGUCAGUUUUCCAUCACUAUAACACAUACCUGAGAUAAUCAACUUAUAAAGAGAAAAAGUUUAUUUUGGUUCAUCAUUAUAAAAGUUCCAGUUCAUGAUUGAUUUGCCCAUUGCUUUGUGUUUGUGGCAAGGCAGCACAUCAUGACAGAAAUGCAUGAUAGAGCAAACUCCUAACCUCCUGGCCUGAAAGUGAAAAAGACAGGGGAAGAGGAAGGAGCUGGGGUCCCACUACCUCCUUUAAGGGUAUGCCUCCAGUGACCUGAAGACUUUCUUACAAGGCCCCACCUCUCAAAAGUGACACUCUUGAGAACAAGCCUUUGGAGAAGCAUUUAAGAUCCAAACUAUAGCAUAUACAAUGGAAUAUUAUUCAGCCUUUAAAAGAGGGAAAAUUGUGACAUAUGCCAUAAUACAAAUGAAUCUUGAAAUCAUUAUGCUAAAUGGAAGAAGUCAAAUGCUAUGUGAUUCCACUUACAUGACAUCCCUAGAGGAGUCAGAUUCACAGAGACAGAAAGUGGAAUGGUGGUUGCCAGAGGCUGAGGGGAGGGAGGAAUGGGGAAUUAUUGUUUGAUAGAUACAGAGCUUUAGUUUUGCCCAGUGGCGAGAGUUCUGGAGAGGGUGAUGGCUGCAUAACAAUGUGUGCAUACUUAAUGCUGCUGGUUACACACUCAAAAGUGGUUAAUAUGAUAAACUUUAUGCUAUGUAUAUUUUACUAUAACUAAAAAUAAUUUUUUAGAAAAGUACAAAAUGUCAGAGUCUCCUAACCCAAGGUCUGUGCACCUUGGAUGAACUUUACCAAGGUCCAUAAAUCUCCUAAAGCUUAUCAAACAUUUCUAUGAGGUUUUUCUCCUCUUAACAUUCCAAACUGUCCAGACAACAGUUUUCCCUUUCAUCAUGGAAUAAUUUAAAUGUGUUCUAUGUUGUGAGCUAUACCACAUUUCACUCAGAUGUUGGCUGUGGAAACAAUGCAAAUGAGAGUCUACGGUACUUAGGGAACAAAUGCAUAUUGGAUGGGGAUGGUGGGAAUUGAGAGAAGCAGAAAUCAGAUAUUUGUAGCCAACUCAGGUGAGUGGGGAGAUGAUAGUGCCAGGAACCGAGGAAAUAAAUCAAACACAUUGUGUGUGUGAACUGGUGGCUGUAACACUCAUGAAGGUUUUAACUAUUGGGGAUAAUCUGAAAAGUCACAAGGAGGGUUGAUUUUUAAGGUGGAUAACGAUGUCUUCCUGAAGUUUAAACAAAAUACUAUGCGCAAAACAUUAAGUUUUACAUGGUCUAUGGUGCCCGUAGGCCCCCAGCAACCUCUUAGCCAGUGUGCUUGCCCUUGAAAUGGCCCUUGAAGGCCACACCUCAGUUGUUACUCUUUUGAUCUGGGGAACUAACUGAGGAUUUAAGAUAUAGGCCUCACUAUGUGGAGGAUUCAUUCCAUUGUACAAGGUGUGUGUGUGGUGUUUGUGUGUGUGUGC